CAAGAAUUGUUCAUAAAAGAAGUAGACCAAAAUUAAGCAAUCCGGUAAUUUCCCACUGGAAAACUAUCAAACUAUCAAUACAAUGAAGAAUAGUUGCUUUACGGGUUUUUUACCUAUAUAUUAUAAAAUUAAAAAAAAUAUUGAAAUAGUAUGUUAAAAAGAUUAUGUAUCAAAAUAGUACAUCCAAAGAGGUGGAAGGUGAAAUUAUGUACCAAAAUGAUACAUCCAAAGAGGUGGAAGGUGGUACAAAUUCUGACACAUUUCAGUUAAAUAAUAAUAAUAAUAAUAUUUUAAUAGUGGUGCCAAAGUGGCAGGGCUACACCACUUUGUCCAGCCAAAUUGAUAGGCAGCACCACUUGUUGUAUUUGACCCGUAUUUUCUUUAGGUGCCACCUAUUAAGUUACUUUCACCAAUUUUUUUUUAUUUUUUAUUUUGUUUUCAGUCAAAUUUGUCAAAAUUCUAGAGUGGUGCCGCUGUUUGAAUGUACCAUUUUGGUACAUAAUUUUUUAAACAUGCCAUU
rnacentral:lncRNA from 1 species